ACCGGGUUGGGUGGCGCCAACUUGUCACGGAUAUGCUUCUGUCCGGGUAGUAAGGUGUGAGGGUUGUGGCAUGCGUUGCCUUGUCGCUAUUCCCAGGAUGCGAAUGGUGCGUCCAUCUCAAACCAGGAGUCGACAUUGGGGAAUCGUCGUAAGACAAUGCACCGAGGUCACUAAGGAAGGGUGUACCGCCCCAGACUGGUUAACAGAGCAGGGAAAAACCCUCGCUCUUGGUAGUGGGAGGAUUUCGUGCCAGAAUUCUGAUGCCACAAGACUUCGCUACAAGCUGCUAUUCGAUCACCUUGCAG
rfam:Phytophthora parasitica INRA-310 unplaced genomic scaffold supercont2.9, whole genome shotgun sequence.